UGGGGAAUUUUGGACAAUGGGCGAAAGCCUGAUCCAGCAAUGCCGCGUGUGUGAAGAAGGCCUUCGGGUUGUAAAGCACUUUUGUCCGGAAAGAAAUCCUUGGCUCUAAUACAGUCGGGGGAUGACGGUACCGGAAGAAUAAGCACCGGCUAACUACGUGCCAGCAGCCGCGGUAAUACGUAGGGUGCAAGCGUUAAUCGGAAUUACUGGGCGUAAAGCGUGCGCAGGCGGUUUGCUAAGACCGAUGUGAAAUCCCCGGGCUCAACCUGGGAACUGCAUUGGUGACUGGCAGGCUAGAGUAUGGCAGAGGGGGGUAGAACUCCACGUGUAGCAGUGAAAUGCGUAGAGAUGUGGAGGAAUACCGAUGGCGAAGGCAGCCCCCUGGCAAGUACUGACGCUCAUGCACGAAAAGCGUGGGGAGCAAACAGGAUUAGAUACCCUGGUAGUCCACGCCCUAAACGAUGUCAACUAGUUGUUGGGGAUUCAUUUCCUUAGUAACGUAGCUAACGCGUGAAGUUGACCGCCUGGGGAGUACGGUCGCAAGAUUAAAACUCAAAUGAAUUGACGGGGGUCAUAGCUUGC
rnacentral:rRNA from 1 species